UAAUAGCUCCCAACAGUAAGACCAGG
rnacentral:piRNA from 1 species